rnacentral:rRNA from 1 species
UACGGAGGGUGCAAGCGUUAAUCGGAAUUACUGGGCGUAAAGCGUGCGUAGGCGGUUCGUUAAGUCUGUUGUGAAAGCCCCGGGCUCAACCUGGGAAUGGCAAUGGAUACUGGCGAGCUAGAGUGUGUCAGAGGAUGGUGGAAUUCCCGGUGUAGCGGUGAAAUGCGUAGAGAUCGGGGAGGAACAUCAGUGGCGAAGGCGGCCAUCUGGGACAACACUGACGCUGAGGCACGAAAGCGUGGGGAGCAAACAGGG